rnacentral:rRNA from 1 species
UACAGAGGUCCCAAGCGUUGUUCGGAUUCAUUGGGCGUAAAGGGUGCGUAGGUGGUGAGGUAAGUCGGAUGUGAAAUCUCGGAGCUCAACUCCGAAAUGGCAUUGGAAACUACCUUGCUCGAGGGUUGGAGGGGGGACUGGAAUACUUGGUGUAGCAGUGAAAUGCGUAGAUAUCAAGUGGAACACCAGUGGCGAAGGCGAGUCCCUGGACAACUCCUGACACUGAGGCACGAAAGCUAGGGGAGCAAACAGG